AACUCUGAGAGGUGGAUCAUUCGGCUUGUGCAUUGAGGAAGAAUGCAUCUAGCUGAGAGAACUAAUGUGAAUUGCAGGACACAUUGAUCAUCGGCACUUUGAACGCACUUUGUGGCCCUGGGUUAUUCCUGGGGCCACACCUGUCUGAGGGUCG